rnacentral:rRNA from 1 species
GACGGAGGGCGCAAGCGUUGUUCGGAAUUACUGGGCGUAAAGCGCGCGCAGGCGGGAAGGUAAGUCUGGAGUGAAAUUCCGGGGCUCAACUCCGGAGCUGCUUUGGAUACUGUCUUUCUAGGGACCGGUAGAGGCCGGUGGAAUUCCCGGUGUAGCGGUGGAAUGCGUAGAGAUCGGGAAGAACACCGGUGGCGAAGGCGGCGACCUGGGUCGACACUGACGCUGAGGCGCGAAAGCGUGGGGAGCAAACAGG